rnacentral:rRNA from 1 species
GACGAACGCUGGCGGCGUGCCUAAUACAUGCAAGUAGAACGCUGAAGGAGGAGCUUGCUUCUCUGGAUGAGUUGCGAACGGGUGAGUAACGCGUAGGUAACCUGCCUGGUAGCGGGGGAUAACUAUUGGAAACGAUAGCUAAUACCGCAUAACAGUAGAUGUUGCAUGACAUUUGCUUAAAAGGUGCAAUUGCAUCACUACCAGAUGGACCUGCGUUGUAUUAGCUAGUUGGUGGGGUAACGGCUCACCAAGGCGACGAUACAUAGCCGACCUGAGAGGGUGAUCGGCCACACUGGGACUGAGACACGGCCCAGACUCCUACGGGAGGCAGCAGUAGGGAAUCUUCGGCAAUGGACGGAAGUCUGACCGAGCAACGCCGCGUGAGUGAAGAAGGUUUUCGGAUCGUAAAGCUCUGUUGAAAGAGAAGAACGAGUGUGAGAGUGGAAAGUUCACACUGUGACGGUAUCUUACCAGGAAGGGACGGCUAACUACGUGC